UGCAGCAACAACCGUCACAUUAGCACCAAUCUUCGCCAACAAAAGCGCCGUCUCCACACAAUGUUGCAAGUCCGGAUGAAGGUCUGUUGUGUAUUGGAAUCAAUUUUGAGGAAAAAGGAUGAUGAGCAUUUAUCCAUUAUAGCAUGUUAUUUUAGUGAGAGGAGAGAAUCUGUGGUUAAAUGCUCUGACGUACCUCAAGUUUCUUUGAGAGAAAAGACAAACAAAUCUUUUGGAUUGGGACAAGAUUUUUGGAACAGGGAACCAGGUGGAGCAAUCUAACGCAAGAACCAUGCCAGUUCCAGCUGUUCAGGUGCCCAACUUAAUCGAUACAAGUGAUGCAAAUGAUUAGGGAACUGAAUCUUUAACACAGAAGCAUGUUGACCAAGAUAUUGGAAACCUGACAACAUCUGGUUCUUUGGUUGAUGAUUUGUUUGGAGA